rfam:Schistosoma margrebowiei strain Zambia genome assembly, scaffold: SMRZ_scaffold0000025
GCACUGCUGAGGAGUCCCACAAUAAUAGAACGAAACGGCCGUCCAGUGC